GGAUCAUUACACAAAUAUGAAGGCGGGCUGGAACCUCUCGGGGUUACAGCCUUGCUGAAUUAUUCACCCUUGUCUUUUGCGUACUUCUUGUUUCCUUGGUGGGUUCGCCCACCACUAGGACAAACAUAAACCUUUUGUAAUUGCAAUCAGCGUCAGUAACAAAUUAAUAAUUACAACUUUCAACAACGGAUCUCUUGGUUCUGGCAUCGAUGAAGAACGCAGCGAAAUGCGAUAAGUAGUGUGAAUUGCAGAAUUCAGUGAAUCAUCGAAUCUUUGAACGCACAUUGCGCCCUUUGGUAUUCCAAAGGGCAUGCCUGUUCGAGCGUCAUUUGUACCCUCAAGCUUUGCUUGGUGUUGGGCGUCUUGUCUCUAGCUUUGCUGGAGACUCGCCUUAAAGUAAUUGGCAGCCGGCCUACUGGUUUCGGAGCGCAGCACAAGUCGCACUCUCUAUCAGCAAAGGUCUAGCAUCCAUUAAGCCUUUUUUUCAACUUUUGACCUCGGAUCAGGUAGGGAUACCCGCUGAACUUAAGCAUAUCAAUAAGCGGAGGAAAAGAAACCAACAGGGAUUGCCCUAGUAACGGCGAGUGAAGCGGCAACAGCUCAAAUUUGAAAUCUGGCUCUUUUAGAGUCCGAGUUGUAAUUUGCAGAGGGCGCUUUGGCUUUGGCAGCGGUCCAAGUUCCUUGGAACAGGACGUCACAGAGGGUGAGAAUCCCGUACGUGGUCGCUGGCUAUUGCCGUGUAAAGCCCCUUCGACGAGUCGAGUUGUUUGGGAAUGCAGCUCUAAAUGGGAGGUACAUUUCUUCUAAAGCUAAAUAUUGGCCAGAGACCGAUAGCGCACAAGUAGAGUGAUCGAAAGAUGAAAAGCACUUUGGAAAGAGAGUCAAACAGCACGUGAAAUUGUUGAAAGGGAAGCGCUUGCAGCCAGACUUGCUUACAGUUGCUCAUCCGGGUUUCUACCCGGUGCACUCUUCUGUAGGCAGGCCAGCAUCAGUUUGGGCGGUAGGAUAAAGGUCUCUGUCACGUACCUCCUUUCGGGGAGGCCUUAUAGGGGAGACGACAUACUACCAGCCUGGACUGAGGUCCGCG
rnacentral:ncRNA from 2 species